rnacentral:misc_RNA from 1 species
CUUAAGCCAACCCACAUUUCUCUUUAGUUGGCAGACAGAUCAAUUAAGUAUCCAAAAGGGAUCUUGGAGAAUGUACCACUGAAGUUUGAAAAAUUCUACAUCCCAGUUGACUUUGUCAUUUUGGACAUGGAAGAGGAUUCUCAUAUGCCAAUCAUUUUGGGGAGGCCUUUCCUAGCUACAGCUGGUGCUUUGAUUGACGUGAAAGGUGAGAAGCUUACUCUCAGAGUCGGAGAGGAUCAUUUAGUCUUCAACAUUGGCAAUGAUAAGAAGAAGCAACAUGAAGAUGUAGACUCUUGUUUGAGAAUUGAUAUAGUUGAUGAGUUAGUAAAAGAGCACUUUAGAAAGAGCUAUCCGAAGGCUUCUCUUGAAAGUUGUCUUAUCCAUGAAGGGAGUAUCAAUGAUGAAAAUCCAAAAGAGGCUGCAUUUGCACAAGAUUUGAAUAGUAAUCCACCUUGUCCUAUGGCACCAAUCUUUCAAGUUGAGCAAGUGGAGAAAAGUGAAGUAAAGCAACCAUCUCUCAAAGAAAAAGAUGCACCAAAGGUUGUCAAGAAAGAAAUGGUCGGAUUUUUAGACAAAGCAACAAGGAUCUUCUCAUGUGAUGGAAAGAAAAUGAAGUAUAGAUUCAUUGAAGCACCUAUUGGAAACAGAGGCAAUAAAUUCCAAUUCCAGCCACCAUGAAACAUGACAAGAGUCCAGCUAAGGACUAUAAAUUA